rnacentral:snRNA from 1 species
UUUCUUACCUGGCAGGGGAGAUACCAUGAUGGAGAAAGGUGGUUUUCCCAGGGAAGGCUCUUACAUUGCCUUCUGUGUGUGUAGACACCUUUGAUUUUUUCCCCCAGUAGCAGUAGUUUCCCUGCAAAGUAGAAGAAAUUUAAAAAUGUUUUAA